rnacentral:rRNA from 1 species
UACAGAGGGUGCAAGCGUUGUUCGGAAUUAUUGGGCGUAAAGCGCGUGUAGGCGGCUUUGCAAGUCGGGUGUGAAAGCCCUCAGCUUAACUGAGGAAGUGCGCCCGAAACUGCAGGGCUUGAGUACCGGAGAGGAUGGCGGAAUUCCCCAAGUAGAGGUGAAAUUCGUAGAUAUGGGGAGGAACACCGGUGGCGAAGGCGGCCAUCUGGACGGGUACUGACGCUGAGACGCGAAAGCGUGGGUAGCAAACAGG